rnacentral:rRNA from 1 species
CCUACGGGGGGCAGCAGUGGGGAAUAUUGGGCAAUGGACGCAAGUCUGACCCAGCAACGCCGCGUGAAGGAAGAAGUAUUUCGGUAUGUAAAGCUCUAUCAGCAGGGAAGAAAGAAAUGACGGUACCUGACUAAGAAGCCCCGGCUAACUACGUGCCAGCAGCCGCGGUAAUACGUAGGGGGCAAGCGUUAUCCGGAUUUACUGGGGGGAAAGGGAGCGUAGACGGCGGUGCAAGUCGGAUGUGAAAGGCGGGGGCCCAACCCCUGGACUGCUUUGGAAACUGUAUGGCUGGAGUGCAGGGGAGGUAAGUGGAAUUCCUGGUGUAGCGGUGAAAUGCGUAGAUAUUAGGAGGAACACCAGUGGCGAAGGCGGCUUACUGGACUGUAACUGACGUUGAGGCUCGAAAGCGUGGGGAGCAAACAGGAUUAGAUACCCUUGUAGUC